UGAAGUUUUGUUUUCUUCGGCCCAUUGGUAUCCGAAUCCGACUGAUUCUAGUAACAAUCUUAUGGGCCUCAUAUCCCAAUCCAGUUUAAAGUCCAAGUGUAUCCAGGCCAUUAAACAAAAUCCAAACAACUUCUGUCUUCUACUGCUAACCCUAAAUCUAAGCUUCACCAUCAAAUCUGCGCUGCUUCAAAUCUGCCGUUACAGAUCUCAACUACUCCAUUUGCACCGUUCCUAAUCUAAGCUUUUGGAUAUCUUUGUGUUUGUGUAUCUGUUUUAGUGUUGUUAAUCUCCAUCUUUCACCGUUUCUUUCAUCGCUUAGAAACAAUCAAAAGCAAGAUCUGUGAAAAUACAGCGAGUUGGAUCUGAGAGCUUGCAAAAGCCAGGAAAGAAGUUGAACGCAGGAAUGAGCAAGAUUAAUGGGAUUGUGGAAAACAAGUUUACUAAGAGCAUAUGAUCUAGCAGGAAUCAAGUUUCACGGUGUUGAUGCUGAUAUUAAUUUCAAUGUGAGCGAUUAUGAUGAAGAUAUAAAGCAGAUGAGUAACUUUACCAAGUACAAGGGAGUUACUCUGCAUAAAUGUGGACUAUGGGAGUGAAUUUAUUCCAAGGACAGGGGAGUUACACUGGACAUUUAUUCCGAGACUUUCCUCUUUGAUGAUGAAGAACACUUCUAAGGAUGGCUACAAGUUCAAAGAAAAGAACCGCUUCGAUGAUCCUUAGUAUUCUACCUGAUUGAUUCUAUCUGCAACAAAAACAAUCACGAUUAUGAUAUUGGAUUCUAUCCUGUUUUAUUGAUCUCUGAAUAUGAACUUCAUGUGCCAAUGCUUAUGUUAAUAAAUAAGUUAUACUGAAGCUGAUAGUUUUGGACCAUUUUCUUUUGAUGUUAGAGUAUUUGAAUUCCUUGAACUUAUCUUAUCUCAUCAUUAGUUACUAAAUGCUUGUUGAUUAUUGAUGUUAUGAUUUGGUGUGAA